rnacentral:rRNA from 1 species
UACAGAGGUCUCAAGCGUUGUUCGAUCGAUUGGUGCGUAAAGGGUGUGUAGGUGCGCCGUAAGUCGGGUGUGAAAUUUCGGAGCUUAACUCCGAAACUGCAUUCGAUACUGCGGUGCUUGCGGACUGGAGAGGAGACUGGAAUUCAUGGUGUAGCAGUGAAAUGCGUAGAGAUCAUGAGGAAGACCAGUGACGAAGGCGGGUCUCUGGACAGUUCCUGACACUGAGACACGAAGGCCAGGGGAGCAAACGGG